rnacentral:rRNA from 1 species
GAGUUUGAUCCUGGCUCAGAGCGAACGCUGGCGGCGUGCUUAACACAUGCAAGUCGAGGGAGAACGGGGGGCUUCGGCUCCCUCAGUAAACCGGCGUACGGGUGAGUAACACGUAGGUAACCUACCCUGAAGUUCGGGAUAACCUAUCGAAAGAUGGGCUAAUACCGGAUAUGACCACGAGGGUGACGGCCCUUGGGGUGAAAGAUGGCCUCUGCUUGCAAGCUAUCACUUUGGGAUGGGCCUGCGGGCCAUUAGCUAGUUGGUGGGGUAACGGCCCACCAAGGCUACGAUGGCUAGCUGGUCUGAGAGGAUGAUCAGCCACACUGGGACUGAGACACGGCCCAGACUCCUACGGGAGGCAGCAGUGGGGAAUAUUGCGCAAUGGGGGAAACCCUGACGCAGCGACGCCGCGUGAGUGAUGAAGGCCUUCGGUCGUAAAGCUCUGUCGGAGGGGAAGAACGACUGCCGCGUGAAUAAUGCGGUGAUCU